GGGUAAUCAAGAUGGCGGCGGCCAUGGAAGUAAUUCGAGAUAUGUCAGACCAUCAGCAGAUGGACCGGCUUCAACAUCUUGCUCCGAGACGAAGAAGAGGUCUCCAAGGAUAACGUAGGCUACUUACCGACAAUAGAUGCACCGGCAACAAAUAUGUCAACGGUGCAUGAGGUCCUUUGCCAGUCGCUUAAGAUAAACGCCCUCCAUCUUAACACUAUCGUAGCUGUCUUUGAUCAAGCCCUUUAUGCGAAGGCAAUUGAAAGUACAAAGUGAAGUUCGAGCACAUAGUUCUAAGAAUGGGAGCAUUCCAUACGAUCUGUACAUUACUAGGGAUUUUUGGCAAACGAUUCCAAGACGCUGGACUGACUGAGCUGUGCGUUGAAUCGCAAAUUCUCGCAAAAGGAUCAGUAACUGGGGUCAUGGAAGGACGGAGGUACAAUCAGGCUGUGCGUAUGCUUAAGCUUGUGUAUGAUGCUCUAAUGAGACGGGCAUGGGGGGCUUCAUAGAGUGGA